AGAAUCAACGCUGGCGGCGUGCCUAACACAUGCAAGUCGCACGAGAAAGUGGAGCAAUCCAUGAGUACAGUGGCGCACGGGUGAGUAACACGUGAAUCAUCUACCUCCGAGUGGGGAAUAACCUAGAGAAAUCUGGGCUAAUACCGCAUAACACUUACGAGUCAAAGCAGCAAUGCGCUUGGAGAGGAGUUCGCGGCCGAAUUAGCCUAGUUGGCGGGGUAAUGGCCCACCAAGGCGAUGAUCGGUA
rnacentral:rRNA from 1 species